GGACCCGGCGGGCCGCUGACCUCCUGAAAGAACCGGGAGAAAGAACUCCCCGCCCACCCACCCUCCCCCGCGAGGAAGCCCGCGUCACCCGUCCGGGUGACCAGCUUGCAGGCCUGGGUCACGGACCGUUACGUUCGCCGCGACAACCGCACACAGACGACGGCCCCCGGCCGGGACUGGCAUCCCGAUCGAGGGCCUGACCGAUCAGGAAGAGCACACUUCCCG
rnacentral:ncRNA from 1 species